rnacentral:rRNA from 1 species
UACGGAGGGGCGAGCGUUGUCCGAAGUUACUGGGCGUAAAGCGCGCGUAGGCGGGGAGGAAAGUCCGCUGUGAAAGCCCGAGGCUCAACCUCGGCGGGUCGGUGGAUACUUCCUCUCUUGAAGGUGCUAGGGGGAGAUGGAAUGACCGGUGUAGCGGUGAAAUGCGUAGAUAUCGGUCGGAACACCAGUGGCGAAGGCGGGUCUCUGGGCCGAUAUUGACGCUGAGGAGCGAAAGCGUGGGGAGCGAACAGG